GUGAAAGAGAGCUAGAAAUUUGAAGACACCAGUCUGUAGACUAAGGCCUGGAAAACUACCUGCUCAGGAAGUGUAAUUAAAACCUGCUAAUGAGACCUGAAAUAGUUGACCUGCCCGGCAAACUGUGAUAAGAACUGCGACUGAUAAGAGAAAUGUUUACAUCUGUUAACAUCUGUCAACAUUUGCUAACUUGAUGAACUUUUGGGGCAGAGCUGCUUGUGUUUGCUAACACCAAUCAAGAGGAAUCAACAUCUGGUCCAGGAAACUGAGGAUAUUCCAUGAUAGACGACAUCUAUGAUUCAUUUACAACUUUGGGACAACAUCAUCAGCAAAAUAUUGCUAUAUAAGUGACCUUAUGACAGUCCAGAAGGUGUGACAGACAGUGAGGCUGUUCACCCGCCAUGCUCAGUGGAGAUGGUGUACUUGGGAGUGGCAGAUCUGCUAUGGGAAAGCAGGAUUCUGUUCACUUUUUGGGGCCUCUUUUUCUCAUGGGAAGAGAAAAGAGUGCAUUUUGAAGUCAUGGUCUUUUUGAAGUUUUGGCGUUUUGGAACUAUGUCUUGGCAGGCAGCAGUGGAAGCUGGGUCUGGCAUAAGCAGGUGCUUCUCCAAAGAGGGAGAAAGAAUAUGGUAAUAUUUGUGUGCAUGAAGAUGGAUGCAUAUUGUGUGUGAAUGAAGAAUGAAAAUGUAACCCCCCUUGUUUGUUUCUUAGCUAAUGUAACUGUAGGUUGUUUGUGAAUCCAAUGUAGUUGCAUAGAAUCUGUAUGUUUGUAUGUCUAAAUGUUGUUCUUUGUUGUUUUGUAAAAGUUCUGCUAUACCUCUCAGACUGAAACUGCAAUAAAAAGAACCUAUGCUUUAAAGUUAUUGAAAAGUUAUUCAUAACAUUUUUGGUGUCAGAAGUGGGAUGUUCUGUUCAGUCUGAGCAGGAUGUUUUAACUUUUGUUUUAAAAGUCUUCAUGACAAAUCCAUCAUAGGACUGGUGAGAAGGUGUCCUAGGAUGCUAAAAAAAAAACCCCUGUGUGAUGAAGUGGAGUAUUUCUUAAACUGGAUCUAAAUCUUGUCCCAGAUUAAAUAGCUGUGUGGAAGGGUCCUCUGGGAAUACGGAAUAUAAGUUCAGUGGGAGUUUCAGAAUGUGAGAGGACAAGGAGCUCAUUCAAUGUUGUACAAAGAAAGAAUAUUGCAAAGAAAGAAUAUUCCUACUUUGCCUCUGAUCUUGUUGAAUUGACUCUGCAAAGUGGGAGUGAUAUCAUUGCUACAACAGUGAGACCCUCUUGGGGUCCGGACAAAUGCUUUAUUUAUUUAUUUAUUUAUUUAUUUAUUUAUUUAUUUAUUGCAUUUCUAAACUGCUUUUCUCACUCCUGGGGGGGGACUCAAAGCGGUUUAACAUAAUGAAUAGCAAAAUUCAAUGCCUCACUUAUAUAAAAAUACAUCAGACAUGUAAAAUAGCAUAUAAUUGUAAAUUAAAACUGUAAAACUUUAAAACAUUGAACAUAGACAUUGACACAAGACAUAAGACAUAAAACAUUAAACACUGCAUCAAUCUAAAGGUUAUCAUUUCACAUUGCUGCUGUCACUCACCGAAUACUUGCUUGAAUAGUCAGAUUUUAAGUUGUUUUCUAACCUCACCAACUCAGUAAAGGCCUUGAUUUUAUGUUUGAUCAUGCAUUUUACAUCUGAUUGCUCAUGAACAUUAUAGUGGCUUAUGAAAUAUGGACGGAUCUGCUUCUCUUUGUGGAAAAUAAAGAGCUAGUGAGAUUUGUAGUUUGGUGAGGUAUCAGGUGUUUAGCAGACUUUGCAAAACUAAAACUAAAACUAAAUGAUUCCAUAGCACUGAAAGAAAGCAGUUAAGGUGGUGUCAAAGUGCAUUAAAUUUACAGUGUAGAUAUACGUUCAAAGUCAAGGGAAGAAACAGUUAUGCAAAAUGGAAAUUCAAGUUACAUAAAAGUUAUAUCAUGAUAAGUGACUAAUAACCAUGUGAAAAGUUAAUUAAAGAGUGAGAAUUCUCCUAGAAUUUGAGAUCCUCUUCAAACAUGCCAUUUCUUCUCUGCUUAUCAAAGGUACUCCCUACAGACUCUGCUGGUGCCCUCCACAAAUCAUUAACCAGUAUUUCUAAUAUAGAGGAAUUCAUUCUGGAAUGCAGAGACCACUUCCUGAGAGGUCACGAACAGUUAGCAUUGCUAUAAGUGUAGUGAUGCCAGAAAUAUCCAAUAAGACAUUCUUAACAAGGACCUUAUGGGGCAAGGGUGUGUUAAACAUUAGUGCCUGGAUCUGAGCUUCAAAAAGAGAAAAAUGUUCUUCUUGCAACGAGUGUCAGUUAGCCAAAAAGGCAUUUAGGAAGGGUGAGUUCUUUACUGUAAAAAUAAAUGUUUUUUAAACUAAUCAUACAUCAGGCAUGACCUAUAUCCACUUUCUCAUCUGUCCUUUCAACAGUGAUUUAUCAUGCCUGAACAUGUUUAGGCUAACAUGCCUAUUUCUGUCCUGGAGUCUUAGUAUGUCCAGGAAAAGAAUAAAAACAUUUGUGUCACUUUAAAGGCUAACAAGUAGGCAUGGUC
ensembl:lncRNA